UAAAAUAACCGAGAUUCUUCAUUAUUCCGCGAAGGUGUGUAGAAGAUUUAAUCAACUGAGCUUUACAAGAUGCCCGACAGCUUGUGAGCAAGAAAGUCGAUCCCAUUUAUCCCUGACUUAAGAAUCUGUCUCAUGCCCCUUCCCACGGGCCACAUCUGGGCUGGUCUGCUCGUCUCCAAACUCAGCAGAGGCAGCACCAAGAAUCCGUCACCUGCGAGGUGCCACCCAACCCCUGGGAGCAACAAGGCCCACACACCGUAGUGUCCCCACUUCUCUCUCCUCUACUCCCAGAGCCCGACCCAGAAAUGCAUCACCUCUGGGGACCGAGAAGCAAGAAGACCUUCAAAAGGAAAAGAGGGAGAGAGGGCUUGUAUUAUAUAACAAUAUUCAGCAGAUAAGGCUUCUAGAAAACGAAAGUAGAGGAGGAGGGGCGGGGGGCGGGGGCGGCCAGGGGAGCCGGGCAUGGGGAGCGUUCGCAGCCACUUACUCGAAGGCGAAGAACAGUCCGCUCGUGACCAGGAUGAGGACGAGAGUCAGUUUAGCGAACGCUCAACUGCUUGCCAGGGAUCACAAAGCCCCCCGGUGGUAGAGAUGGGAUUGAACCCAGAGUCGAGAGAAUUUCUCUUAGAAAACUUCGCUCAUUAAAUCCAGAGGACAAACCAGAUGAGACAAGGAUUAUUAUCUUAAUUUCACAGAGGAGGAAACUGAAGACCAGAGAAGGUAGGUGAUUUGCCCAAGGUUUCACAGCUAGUAUGUACCCAAGUCAGGAUUCCAGGCCAGGUAGGUAUGUCUGAUGCCCAGUUUUUCUACUCUAGCCAAAUACACAAUGGAAAGAGUACACCGUGUCUGACUAACUGCCAACUGAGU